rnacentral:rRNA from 1 species
CCUACGGGUGGCAGCAGUGGGGAAUUUUGGACAAUGGGCGCAAGCCUGAUCCAGCCAUUCCGCGUGAGUGAAGAAGGCCUUCGGGUUGUAAAGCUCUUUCGGCCGGGACGAAAUCGUAUGGGCUAAUACCCUGUAUGGAUGACGGUACUGGAAGAAGAAGCACCGGCUAACUACGUGCCAGCAGCCGCGGUAAUACGUAGGGUGCGAGCGUUAAUCGGGGUUACUGGGCGGUUUUGGUGCGCAGGCGGUUAAUCCCCGGGCUUAACCUGGGAACUGCGGUUGGGACGGCAAGACUUGGGUGCGGCAGAGGGGGUGGAAUUCCACGUGUAGCAGUGAAAUGCGUAGAGAUGUGGAGGAACACCGAUGGCGAAGGCAGCCCCCUGGGUCGACACUGACGCUCAUGCACGAAAGCGUGGGGAGCAAACAGGAUUAGAUACCCGUGUAGUC